rnacentral:rRNA from 1 species
UACGAAGGGGGCGAGCGUUGUUCGGAAUUACUGGGCGUAAAGGGCGCGUAGGCGGCCCUCUUUGUCGCGUGUGAAAGCCCCCGGGCUCAACCUGGGAACGGCGCGCGAAACGGGGGGGGCUGGAGUUCGGGAGAGGAGCGUGGAAUUCCCAGUGUAGAGGUGAAAUUCGUAGAUAUUGGGAAGAACACCGGUGGCGAAGGCGGCGCUCUGGACCGAGACUGACGCUGAGGCGUGAAAGCGUGGGGAGCGAACAGG